rnacentral:tRNA from 1 species
GUAAAAUUAAGCUAAUUAAGCUGUGGGAUUCAUACUCCUAAUAUUUUUUUAUAUUUUUAGA